rnacentral:rRNA from 1 species
GAUGAACGCUGGCGGCGUGCCUAAUACAUGCAAGUCGAGCGAACAGACGAGGAGCUUGCUCCUCUGACGUUAGCGGCGGACGGGUGAGUAACACGUGGAUAACCUACCUAUAAGACUGGGAUAACUUCGGGAAACCGGAGCUAAUACCGGAUAACAUGUUGAACCGCAUGGUUCAACAGUGAAAGACGGUCUUGCUGUCACUUAUAGAUGGAUCCGCGCCGCAUUAGCUAGUUGGUAAGGUAACGGCUUACCAAGGCAACGAUGCGUAGCCGACCUGAGAGGGUGAUCGGCCACACUGGAACUGAGACACGGUCCAGACUCCUACGGGAGGCAGCAGUAGCGAAUCUUCCGCAAUGGGCGAAAGCCUGACGGAGCAACGCCGCGUGAGUGAAGAAGGUCUUCGGAUCGUAAAACUCUGUUAUUAGGGAAGAACAAAUGUGUAAGUAACUAUGCACGUCUUGACGGUACCUAAUCAGAAAGCCACGGCUAACUACGUG